rnacentral:ncRNA from 1 species
GAGAGUAGGCCUCUCGAAAUCGGCAUUCAGGUGCAAGUUUCAAACUGCCUGUUGGUGCUGCAGUCAAAAGCUGUGGUAUUGAGCGUGACAGGAAAAGGUUGUUUAAUGUAAAAUAAAAA